rnacentral:misc_RNA from 1 species
UUCCGUAGGUGAACCUGCGGAAGGAUCAUUAAAAAUUGGACUCCAUUGAUGAGUUCAUUAAUAAUCCUACCCUUUGUGAAUUGUUUGUUUGAAUAAUUUUUUUUCCAAAAAAAUUAUUGAAUGUCUUUCCCUGUUUUGGUGGAGCUUGUAAAGUGAAACCAGGCAGGGGAAUGGCAAACAAUAAUUAUUUUUGAAAAAGACCUUUUUUAAAAUUAAACUUUUUGUAUUCACUUGUCUAAAAUUAUUUUUUAUAAUAUAAAACAACUUUUGACAAUGGAUCUCUUGGUUCUCGCAACGAUGAAGAACGCAGCAAAUGCGAUAAGUAGUGUGAAUUGCAGAAUACGUGAAUCAUCGAAUCUUCGAACGCAUAUUGCACUUUUUUAGUUUACUAAAAAAGUAUGUCUGUUUGAGUAUCAGUAAAUAUUCUCAUAAAAAUUUAUUUUUAUGGUUAUGAGUGUUUUACAAACGAUAACAAGUUGUUUCACUUUAAAUUCUUUGUUAUCAAAAAAAUCAUUAAAAGCUAAUUUUAAAGAUUUUUUAAAAUUGGACAAAAUUUUCCCGUAAAAAGGAAUAACCUAAACAAUUUUAAAAAUUAAAAUUGGUUUGAUUUUUCUUGAUUUAAAAAGGAAAAAAAAGUAAAAAUUAACUUGACCUCAAAUCAGAUAAGAGUACCGCUGAACUUAAGCAUAUCAAUAAGCGGAGGAAAAGAAACUAACUAGGAUUCCCUCAGUAACGGCGAGUGAAGCGGGAAGAGCUCAAAUUUGAAAUCUUCAAGGUUUUACCUUGACGAAUUGUAGUUUAAAGAAGUGUUUUCUGUUGGAGUUUUUGGUAAAAGUUCUUUGGAAAAGGACAUCAUAGAGGGUGAGAAUCCCGUAUUUGACCAUUAUCUCCAGCUUUGUGAUACACUUUCAAAGAGUCGGAUUGUUUGGGAAUGCAGUCCAAAAUGGGUGGUAAAUUUCAUCUAAAGCUAAAUACUGGCGAGAGACCGAUAGCGAACAAGUACCGUGAGGGAAAGAUGAAAAGAACUUUGAAAAGAGAGUUAAACAGUACGUGAAAUUGUCAAAAGGGAAGCGUUUGACACCAGUGUUGUUUUCUCGAAAAUCAAUUAAAAAAGGCCGGAUUUUGUGUUGUAUUGACUUUAUCAGCUUUCUGCACUUUUUUCUUGUCUUUUUUAAUGCACUUUUCGUUUAACAAGUCAACAUCAAUUUCUUUUGUUGUAAAAGGGUCAUUGGAAGGUGGCUUUCUUUCGGAGAAAGUGUUUAUAGCCUUUGACCUCUGCAAUCGGAGAGAUUGAGGUCUGCAGCGUAGAUCCUUCGGGUUAGAUACAUUUUGUGCUAAGUUAUAGCCUUUCAUAGACAACUUGUUGACUAUGAUCAGUCAUGUAGCUUACUCGCUUAUGCUAUUU